rnacentral:rRNA from 1 species
UACGUAGGGGGCAAGCGUUGUCCGGAAUCAUUGGGCGUAAAGAGCGUGUAGGCGGCCCGAUAAGUCCGCUGUGAAAGUCCAGGGCUCAACCCUGGAAUGCCGGUGGAUACUGUCGGGCUAGAGUCCGGAAGGGGCGAGUGGAAUUCCUGGUGUAGCGGUGAAAUGCGCAGAUAUCAGGAGGAACACCAAUGGCGAAGGCAGCUCGCUGGG